UCUUAAUAAUUUUCUUUUCUUUUUUAACAAUUAUCCGUUUAGAAACUAUAAUAUGAAACCAUUGGUUCGACAUCACGACUAUCUAAGAUUCAUAACAUGAAAACAAACAAAUAAUAGUAAUUUUUGAUUAUCAGAGGAAAAAAAAAACAAAAACAUCAAACAUUUUAACCGAACAAACCAAAUAAAUAUUGAUUUAAAAUGAUAGUUAUACUUUAGGAGAUUAAAAACCAAAAAAAUAACUUAAAACAUAACCGAUAUCCAGAUUAAACAGAUAAAUGUCUUCUUAUUAAAAAAUAACGGAAAUAAUAAUCUGAUAGAGAGCGGAAGCUAUAUGAUUCAAAGAUCAAGGGUUUGAUCUUAAAACUGUUAACUUGUGUUCGAAGGUAACUCGAAAACAAGAUUGAUAGAACGCGAUUACUCUUCGCAGUGCCUUUUGCAAAGCUCUUUAAAACCAAAACCUUAUAAUUCUUAUUAUCAAAAUCGUGUCC
rnacentral:lncRNA from 1 species